GGAACCGUAGCUCAGUGGUAGAGCAUUGCAUUCACAUUGCAGGGGUCACAGGUUCAAAUCCUGUCGGUUCCA
rfam:Microgenomates (Woesebacteria) bacterium GW2011_GWB1_38_8 TT08_C0030, whole genome shotgun sequence.